rnacentral:rRNA from 1 species
UAGCUUGCUACCAGGCGUCGAGCGGCGGACGGGUGAGUAAUACUUAGGAAUCUACCUAGUAGUGGGGGAUAGCACGGGGAAACUCGUAUUAAUACCGCAUACGACCUACGGGAGAAAGGGGGCAGUUUACUGCUCUCGCUAUUAGAUGAGCCUAAGUCGGAUUAGCUAGAUGGUGGGGUAAAGGCCUACCAUGGCGACGAUCUGUAGCUGGUCUGAGAGGAUGAUCAGCCACACCGGGACUGAGACACGGCCCGGACUCCUACGGGAGGCAGCAGUGGGGAAUAUUGGACAAUGGGGGAAACCCUGAUCCAGCCAUGCCGCGUGUGUGAAGAAGGCCUUUUGGUUGUAAAGCACUUUAAGCAGUGAAGAAGACUCUUCGGUUAAUACCCGGAGACGAUGACAUUAGCUGCAGAAUAAGCACCGGCUAACUCUGUGCCAGCAGCCGCGGUAAUACAGAGGGUGCAAGCGUUAAUCGGAAUUACUGGGCGUAAAGCGAGCGUAGGUGGCUUGAUAAGUCAGAUGUGAAAUCCCCGGGCUUAACCUGGGAACUGCAUCUGAAACUGUUAGGCUAGAGUAGGUGAGAGGGAAGUAGAAUUUCAGGUGUAGCGGUGAAAUGCGUAGAGAUCUGAAGGAAUACCGAUGGCGAAGGCAGCUUCCUGGCAUCAUACUGACACUGAGGCUCGAAAGCGUGGGUAGCAAACAGGAUUAGAUACCCUGGUAGUCCACGCCGUAAACGAUGUCUACUAGUCGUUGGGUCCCUUGAGGACUUAGUGACGCAGCUAACGCAAUAAGUAGACCGCCUGGGGAGUACGGCCGCAAGGU